GACGAACGCUGGCGGCGUGCCUAAUACAUGCAAGUUGAGCGCUGAAGGUUGGUACUUGUACCAACUGGAUGAGCAGCGAACGGGUGAGUAACGCGUGGGGAAUCUGCCUUUGAGCGGGGGACAACAUUUGGAAACGAAUGCUAAUACCGCAUAAAAACUUUAAACACAAGUUUUAAGUUUGGAAGAUGCAAUUGCAUCACUCAAAGAUGAUCCCGCGUUGUAUUAGCUAGUUGGUGAGGUAAAGGCUCACCAAGGCGAUGAUACAUAGCCGACCUGAGAGGGUGAUCGGCCACAUUGGGACUGAGACACGGCCCAAACUCCUACGGGAGGCAGCAGUAGGGAAUCUUCGGCAAUGGACGAAAGUCUGACCGAGCAACGCCGCGUGAGUGAAGAAGGUUUUCGGAUCGUAAAACUCUGUUGGUAGAGAAGAACGUUGGUGAGAGCGGAAAGCUCAUCAAGUGACGGUAACUACCCAGAAAGGGACGGCUAACUACGUG
rnacentral:rRNA from 1 species